UACGAAGGGGGCUAGCGUUGCUCGGAAUGACUGGGCGUAAAGGGCGCGUAGGCGGGUCUUUUAAGUCAGGGGUGAAAUCCUGGAGCUCAACUCCAGAACUGCCUUUGAUACUGAGGAUCUUGAGUUCAGGAGAGGUGAGUGGAACUGCGAGUGUAGAGGUGAAAUUCGUAGAUAUUCGCAAGAACACCAGUGGCGAAGGCGGCUCACUGGCCCGAUACUGACGCUGAGGCACGAAAGCGUGGGGAGCAAACAGGG
rnacentral:rRNA from 1 species